rnacentral:rRNA from 1 species
UGAGGGGGGCUGCUCCUAGUACGAGAGGACCGGAGUGGACGCAUCACUGGUGUUCGGAUUGUCAUGCCAAUGGCACUGCCCGGUAGCUAAAUGCGGAAGAGAUAAGUGCUGAAAGCAUCUAAGCACGAAACUUGCCCCGAGAUGAGUUCUCCCUGACUCCUUGAGAGUCCUGAAGGAACGUUGAAGACGACGACGUUGAUAGGCCGGGUGUGUAAGCGCAGCGAUGCGUUGAGCUAACCGGUACUAAUGAACCGUGAGGCUUAACCUUACAACGCCGAAG